GAACCAUUGAAUGGAAUGAAACCAAACAUGGCAUGAAUGUUUCUUAUGAGGUGCUGACUGAGUGUUGUUACUUUGAAGCCGAUCCAUAAUCCAAGAUGGCCGCCAGCAGGGGACUUAGUUUAACAUAGGACCCUAUGGGAAAUACAUACAAAUGUCUUCUUUUAGAGAACCACUGAAUGGAAUGAAACCAAACAUGGUAUGAAUGUUUCUUAUGAGGUGCUGACCGAGUGUUGUUACUUUGAAGCCGAUCCAUAAUCCAAGAUGGCCGCCAGCGGGGGACUUAGUUUAUCAUGGGACCCUAUGGGAAAUACAUACAAAUGUCUUCUUUUAGAGAACCACUGAAUGGAAUAACACCAAACAUGGCAUGAAUGUUCCUUAUGAGGUGCUGACCGAGUGUUGUUACUUUGAAGCUGAUCCAUAAUCCAAGAUGGCUGCCAUGCAGGGGACUUAGUUUAACAUGGGACCCUAUGAGAAAUACAUACAAAUGUCUUCUUUUAGAGAACCACUGAAUGGAAUGAAACCAAACAUGGCAUGAAUGUUCCUUAUGAGGUGCUGACCGAGUGUUGUUACUUUGAAGCUGAUCCAUAAUCCAAGAUGGCCGCCAGCGGGGGACUUAGUUUAACAUGGGACCCUGAGGGAAAUACAUACAAACGUCUUCUUUUAGAGAACCACUGAAUGGAAUGAAACCAAACAUGGCAAGAAUGUUCCG